CAAAGAGUAUAAGAUAGAUGGGAAGGCUACCAUUAGUGGCAAUGUUAAAAAGCGUAUAUGAGUUUCAAAGCCUCUAGUGAUUGUGUCCAGUCACGGAAACGGAAAACGCAGGGGUCUAUUCAAUUUACAGUUAAAACGUGAAAAAAAAAAUGUCGAGAUGGUUAAAAAUUUUUUUUUAUUAAAAUAUAAAUAAGUGCUGUUAUGAGUUACAAGCUACUGUAGAUUUUCAGUGUGACACAUUACUUUAAAUCGCCGUCACAGUACUUGAGUACUUGGAUACAAAUAUUAGAUGGCAUUCGUAACAGUAUACGUGACCUUCCCCUCUAUCUUAUACUCUUUGGUGUAAGUCAAAGAGUGAGAAACGAACGGCGUAUUUAGGCGAUGUUUGGGAUCGAUUUGUUAGGGCUAAUUUGGUUACUCCGCAAUAUUUCAAACCAACUAGCCAAUUCUUAUACCAACUAAAUAACCUGUUAUUUUGAUUAUUUGCAUUGGUUAAUGUGCAGAUUUUUCAUUAUUGCUUUUAUAUUGACUAUAUAUUUGAAAUAGUUUGUAUACUAUCAAAUUGUUAAUAUGAUUGCUGUAACCGUAUCGGACCAUCCAUAGUCGUGACGCGGACCUUUUUUGGACAACUGUCAGUUGUCAGGUAUGUGAUCCUCUGUGCUGCGUACAUCAUGGAAGUUUAAUAGACAUCCUAACGCUUGACGUCACAGAUAUGGGCGGAACUUAUAUCGGCUCCAAACAAACGACAAAAUAGCUGUAAGAAAUUUUUCAUUUAAUGUUUUCCUGUUUUUGUAUUGCUGAAGGAACAUGCUAUUUAAUAGCUUCUCAUACGUUUUUGUCCAGGCUUAUAUCCAGACUGUAGACAUUAUAGUUCAAAGUAUACAUGAAGUUUUUUCGUUUCCCAAAAACAAAACCAAGAAGAAUUUCUCUCAUAAGGAGAAAAGAUAAAGGUCCAAGUCAUUUUGCAAAAGUGUGAGAUUGCUAUUUUGUAAAUAAAGAAAAGAAGAAUGGAGCAACCUUAUUUAAUUUUAGUAUUCAGAAGAAGUUUAAUUUGAAAUCUCCAGAAAAAGGGAAUUGAACCAUAGAAAAGAGCGAAAUUUUUUUGGAUAAUCUUUUAACCAAGUCCCUACUAGGACCUUUAGUUGAACAACUACCAGGACCUUCAACUGAGCCAGUGCCGACUUGAUGUUUCGCUCUUAAGUCCCAUCAUCGGCUUCUCUAAAGGCUGAAAAUUAUUUUUUAAGCCAACAGGUGGCUGAAUUAACCAAAAAGUUAGCUUAGUUAUGAAGUUGUAAAGAAAAAUGAUGCUCAUUUAUUAAUGCAUACUGGCAUUCCAACCAAUGAGUUUUUCAUGGUCCUAUUUGACCUAAUGGAUAGCUUUACAUUAAAGUAUUAUGCUUGAUGGAAUUUUCAGUUCAUUUCUAAAAUCAAUCAGCUAAUUAAGACCUUAACGAAAUUAAGACUUAAUCUUCCACAAGAAGUUCUUUUUAAGAAUUUGAUAAAAACCAUACCAUCUAGACAACAAAAUCAGGCGU